rfam:Trichobilharzia regenti genome assembly, scaffold: TRE_contig0007872
AUCUAGCUGACGAGUCCCAUGUAGGACGAAAUAUGCAUCUUAGAU